rnacentral:rRNA from 1 species
AUUGAACGCUGGCGGCAGGCCUAACACAUGCAAGUCGAACGGUAACAGGUAGAAGCUUGCUUCUUUGCUGACGAGUGGCGGACGGGUGAGUAAUGUCUGGGAAACUGCCUGAUGGAGGGGGAUAACUACUGGAAACGGUAGCUAAUACCGCAUAACGUCGCAAGACCAAAGAGGGGGACCUUCGGGCCUCUUGCCAUCGGAUGUGCCCAGAUGGGAUUAGCUAGUAGGUGGGGUAACGGCUCACCUAGGCGACGAUCCCUAGCUGGUCUGAGAGGAUGACCAGCCACACUGGAACUGAGACACGGUCCAGACUCCUACGGGAGGCAGCAGUGGGGAAUAUUGCACAAUGGGCGCAAGCCUGAUGCAGCCAUGCCGCGUGUAUGAAGAAGGCCUUCGGGUUGUAAAGUACUUUCAGCGGGGAGGAAGGGAGUAAAGUUAAUACCUUUGCUCAUUGACGUUACCCGCAGAAGAAGCACCGGCUAACUCCGUG